ANAUUCUCUGUGUCCAGGAUCUCCCCCUGGGGCUGAUGGACGACAUCUACGAGUUCGUCAAGAACUUUUCCCUGCGGGUGGACGAGGUGGAAGAGAUGUUGACCAACAACCGCAUCUGGAAGAACCGAACCAUCGACAUCGGGGUCAUCCCGGCCGAGGAGGCUCUGAAUUAUGGGUUCAGGUGUGGGGUGACGCUCUGAAUUAUGGGAUCAGGUGUGGGGUGAUGCUCUGAAUUAUGGGAUCAGGUGUGGGGUGAUGCU